AUGCAGAUGAUUAAAUUGUUUAACAUCUUGAGUUUAACAUCUGAAAUAUGAACCGCACAUUCCAAGAGGGUAAAAUCCAUUAGGGUAAUCAAAAGCCCAACUAUUUCCACAACACAACUUGGGUACAUGGCAGAAUUCAUUCAAUCACAUGCCUCACAUCCCAGAUCACAGCCAUCAUCACAGGAAUGUAGCUAUUGUGGGUUUUUCAAAGCAUUUAGAGUUAUUGUUUAAUUUGAGUCUGCUCUUCCAUAAGAAUAGUCUGUAGUGUGCAACACCACUGUCUUUUAUGAUGAAAACAGCACAACAGAUGUCAGAAUCACAUAAUCACACGCCUUAUCACCUCCAUCAUCAACGCAGGAACCAUGCAGACGGUGUAAACAUGUGAUCGGAACGCUCGGUCAGCUGAUAACAGAUAGACUCUGCAGCAUACAUGGCCCUCGCCUCAUCUGAUGUGGAAGUCAAAGGAUCCGGGCUAAAACUGGAUCUGUUUCGCAACUGUCUGCUACCAGGGUAGUAUGUGGCGCGGAAACCCUCCAUGCUGCAAAGACUCCACAUUCAGAUGAAAGGCCCAACCUCCUCAAGAGAAGGACAAGGACCACUGGACCGAAGUGCAUUCCUAUUGCAGACGUUCCUACUUGGAGGAAUAUGGCAUGUUGUUGGUCCGGUCUGAACAAGUCAGGGUCCAACCACAUUCUGCCACACACAUGGAGUGUUGUCUGUUCUGUGAAGCAUAGGCCAGACAGGUGUGGAAACCAGGCCCCUAACGUCAGAUGCUGACCGCUGACCGUCUGCCUGGCACACCUGUAGACCGGCAGCACCAGUCAUGAUGCUCAGGUCUCCCAAGAUGUUAAAGAAAGCACCAAUAACAGCAACAAGCGAAUGGCCAUUAUCUUGCUUAUUUUACCAACGUCUCCCUACCUGCCCACUUAUCUGAUGUACUUUUUAAACACCAGCAUCCCACUCACUGAGAUUAAUCAUCCUCGUCACUGGUGAUGAUGGCACAGCUGGAGCGUGGCUUUAGCCUGAGGCCUACACGCAGAUGGUGCUAUACAGUCGGGAUCCAGACAUGUUGCUGCCUUUAGUAAAAGAGGAAACUCGACAGGUUGAGGGAUCAUAGCUGUCCUCCACUCGCCGACUGAGUAACGAACGCUGUGGUGAAUCUUGGCAUCUGCUGCCGCCAAGGCAACCGCACGCUGCCGUCACAGCCGACGUGACGGACUGGCAGCGAGUGGGACUGCCGGUGGAGAGGAGAUUCAUUUGAGGCUCCAGUACAGGAAGGCUCUGACAGGAGGAGGCGACUGAGAGCCCGAUGAGCCAGACGGUUGCCUGAUUCACAGGGCUAAAUGAGGAAACCGCCCAACCGCAGGAGCAGAGCAGCGCAGGCUAGGCAAAUAAACAUGUUUAUGUUCAAAUCCGACUUAGUGGCAGCUGCGUUUGAGCCCUUCAGUAUGAGGAAAUGUUCACCCUUGUCAUCUCAAAACAAUACAAUUCUAGAGUAACUUGGGGUUUGCUAAUACUAAAUUACAUAGAUGUAGGUUACCAUGCACAGACUCUCAUAUUUA